AUUGAACGCUGGCGGCAGGCCUAACACAUGCAAGUCGAACGAGUGGCGGACGGGUGAGUAAUGUCUGUGAACCUGCCUGAUGGAGGGGGAUAACUACUGGAAACGGUAGCUAAUACCGCAUACCAUCGGAUGUGCCCAGAUGGGAUUAGCUUGUAGGUGGGGUAACGGCUCACCUAGGCGACGAUCCCUAGCUGGUCUGAGAGGAUGACCGGCCAGACUGGAACUGAGACACGGUCAAGACUCCUACGGGAGGCAGCAGUGGGGAAUAUUGCACAAUGGGCGCAAGCCGGAUGCAGCCAAGCCGCGGGUAUGAAGAAGUCCUUCGGGUUGUAAAGUACUUUCAGCGGGGAGGCGUUACCCGAAGAAGAAGCACCGGCUAACUCCGUGCCAGCAGCCGCGGUAAUAC
rnacentral:rRNA from 1 species